AACGCUAGCUACAGGCUUAACACAUGCAAGUCGAGGGGAAACGAUAGAGAAAGCUUGCUUUUUCUAGGCGUCGACCGACGCACGGGUGAGUAACGCGUAUCCAACCUGCCCACCACUUGGGGAUAACCUUGCGAAAGUAAGACUAAUACCCAAUGACGUCUCUAGAAGGCAUCUGAAAGGGAUUAAAGAUUUAUCGGUGAUGGAUGGGGAUGCGUCUGAUUAGCUUGUUGGCGGGGUAACGGCCCACCAAGGCUACGAUCAGUAGGGGUUCUGAGAGGAAGGUCCCCCACAUUGGAACUGAGACACGGUCCAAACUCCUACGGGAGGCAGCAGUGAGGAAUAUUGGUCAAUGGGCGAGAGCCUGAACCAGCCAAGUAGCGUGCAGGAUGACGGCCCUAUGGGUGUAAACUGCUUUUAUGCGGGGAUAAAUUGACUCACGUGUGGGUCAUUGCAGGUACCGCAUGAAUAAGGACCGGCUAAUUCCGUGCCAGCAGCCGCGGUAAUACGGAAGGUCCGGGCGUUAUCCGGAUUUAUUGGGUUUAAAGGGAGCGUAGGCCGUUGUUUAAGCGUGUUGUGAAAUGUCCCGGCUCAACCGUGGCACUGCAGCGCGAACUGGACGACUUGAGUGCGCGGAACGUAUGCGGAAUUUGUGGUGUAGCGGUGAAAUGCUUAGAUAUCACGAAGAACUCCGAUUG
rnacentral:rRNA from 1 species